rnacentral:lncRNA from 1 species
CAGCAGCAGAUGUCCAUUACAGAUGGUUGUGAGCUACCAUGUGGCUGUUGGGAAUUGAACUCAGGACCUCUGGGAGAGCAGUCGGGGCUCUUAACCGUUGAACCAUCUCUCUAGCACAUUCAGCCAGAUUUUUUUUUUUGAGACAGGUUUCUCUGUGUAGCCCUGGCUGUCCUGGGUCUCACUCUGUAGACUAAGCUGGCCUGGAACUCAGAGAUCCGCCUGCCUCUGCCUCCUGAGCGCUAGGAUUAUGGGCAUGCACUACCACUGCCCAGCUAACCGAUCAGGUUUUAUUAGCUGUUUUUCAGCCACGGAAUGUUUUAACUGUUUCUGCAUAUUGUACUCACUCAAGCUGUUCUUGUUUUAGAAACUGCAAGACUUAAACCCAACCCCACUGCUAAUGCUAUUUCAUAAUGACUUCUCUUGCUUAAGGUGUCUGUAAGACAAUGACCUCAAGUUUUCAUAGCUAAGUAUGUUCAUUCUUACUUGGCAGGUUCCUUAACAUCCACCAAUGCUCUAGUUAUGCACUUGCCUUAAGACCUUCUUUCCAGGCCGCUCAAAAAUCUCAUAAACUUCACCUCUUGUUCUUUCACACCACUGCCCUCUACAGGUGGAAUUAAUUCUCGAGUGUUAAAAUCUAACAGUCAGAAUUUGGACAUUUCAAAUAUGUUCAUGUUAAUACUUUUUCUAAUAUGAUUGUUGCUUCUGCUAACAGCACUAAAACCAUCUUGGGUGCCAUUAGUCAUUUAUUAUGCUCUGUUUUCUUUCUAGAGCUCAUCUCACCACGGAAAACUGAUAGUGGUCCUGCUUAUACUAGCAAAUGUUUGAAGGAAUUUUCCAAAUUAUGGAAUAGUGAUCAUAUACAAUCCACAGGGUAGAGUUAUUUCAUACCGACACCAUCAAAUACUUAAAUCACAAAAUUUAAAAGUAAAAAUGGGGGUAUAAGCAGGCACCUAAAUCUUCACAUACCAUGCUACAUUUAACUAUGCUAACUUAAAAUUUUUCACUUUAAUUAAUUAACUAGUUAAUUAAUUUUCAUUUUAUAUGCAUUGGUGUUUGCCUGCAUGCAUGUUUGUGUGAGGAUGUAAGAUCUUGGAGUUACAGACUUGUGAGUUGCCCUGUGGGUGCUGGGAUUUGAGCCUGGCUCCUCUGGAAGAGCAGCCAGUGUCCUUAACUGCUGAGCCAUCUUUCCAGCCCUGGUUUUCUUUACUUUAUAAGGAUAAUGCUGCUUCUAUCGUUCAAAAGCAUUUUCCCUAAAGGAGACAUAGCCUAAAGGAUGUUACAUUCUAAACUCAUUCAUGAAAAGAACCAGAUGCUCUUUUAAUAUGAGGCUGAAGUUAUGCAUCUCUUUGGAGAUAUACAGUAUGACUGAGCUCCCAGCUGGCAUCAAUUGCCAGUCUUGGAGUAUGUCAUUUUGGACACAGAAUCCUCACAGGAGUCCACUUUUCUUUUAUUGCUUCUAACCAAAAUGUCCCGAGAUACUCUCAAUAAGAAACAGCCAGUAAAAAAGGAGAGGAAAGAACCAUUUAGUAGCUGGGUGGUGGCGGCGCCUGCCUUUAAUCCCAGUACUUGAGGCAGAGGUAGGUGGGAUCUCUGAAUUUGAAGCCAGCAUGGACUACAGAGUGAGUUCCAGGACAGCCAGAGCUACACAGAGAAACCCUGUAUUGUAAAACAACAGAUCAAUCAAACAAACAAACAUCCAGUUGAUUCUCCCGACUCCACCAAGGGUAAGAAAUUAUAGAUGCCAUAAAAUACUUCUUUAAGUUUUUUAGAUUUAUUGUCUGUAUGUUUUGCCUGCAUAUAUAUGUAAUAUGUGCAUAUAUUAUAUGUACUAGGUGCCUGCAGAGGUCAAAAGAAGAUGCCAGAUCUCUUAAACUGGAGUUAUGGAUGGUUGUGAGCCACUACAUGGGUCCUAGGAACUGAAUCUAGUCUUCUACAGUAGUAACAAGUGUUGUUAUUGGCUAAGCAUUCUCUUCAGCCCUCAUAAAUUUCUGAUGUUUUGAAGCAUCAGAAUGACCAGACAACAGAUUGCCUGCCCCCAAGUCGGGGUUUCGGAGAACAGCCCCUCACUGGCUUUUGAGGUCCCCUUUAUGGGGAUGGGUUAGGGUUGGUAGAAAACAGCUGUUGAGAUAAUUGGCUGUCAGCACCUGGGCAGGAGAGUGGGGGACUCAAGCCUCAAGGCUGCCUGUGCCAUAGAUAAGUGCAGGAAUAUGUCACAUGGAAGGGGACUCACCACAGGUGGUCAGGAGUUUAUAGUAAGGGUGGGUACACAUCAUGGGGUGACAAAUUCAGCAUAGGUUGAAAACUAUGGCUUGCAGGAUACAGGAGGUUUAGGAAAUUCUCCUAAGGUAUGGAGACUUAAUAUCAAUGUAUGACAAUGUGGUUUCCCUUUUGGUUUCUCAGUAUCUGCCACCAAUCCUGAUGACCUGAGUGUAAUCCCAGACAGAGAAGGCUGGUUAUCUCAUGGAUUCUCUCUGUGUCUGUCUGUCUCUCUCUCUCACACACACAGAGACAUAUACACACAUAUGAAUAAGUGUGAUUAGUUAGCCUAAAUCAGUCAGUCCUUCUCUCCCUCCCCACUUUUCCCCCUCCCUUUUUUCUUUCUUGUUUGGCAGGGUAGAGUCAUCUUGCUCAGUCCCUCUGCCUGUGAUUAGCAUUCUUCUGUGUGACAGGAAUGUUAACUAUUUGUAUCCCGACUGAGGUUAUGUACGUGUGGAGGCCAGAGUAUAACCUCAGGUGUCAUUUAUAAGGUACUGUGGAGCUUUUUCCUGUGUGUGAGUAUGUGUGUGUGUGUGUGUGUGUGUGUGUGUGUGUGUGUGUGAUGUGUGCAUGGGUGUGCAUGUUUGCAUAGAUAUGGGUAUGUGGGGGGGGGCACACUUGGGUAUGGAUUCAUGUGCAUGUGGAGGCCCAAGGCUGAUGUCAAGAAUUAUCCUUGCUCUCAUUUGUACUUUAUUCACUGAGGCAGGGUCUCUCAGUCAAAGCCAAAACUGGCCAGAAUAGCUAGUUUUAUUGAUUAACUUCCUUUGGGAAUUAUCUGUCUUUACUUCCCUAGGCUGGAAUUACAGAAAGACCACCAUGGCCACCAGAUACUUACAUGAGUUCUGGGUACCUAAAGUCUGGUCCUUACACUAGUACAACAAGUGUCACUCACUCCACUGAGUCACCUCCCCAGUCCCUUUCAUGCCCCACCCCUUCCCCACUUCUUUUCUGUGACAGAAUCUGUCAUUGGCCUGAAACUUACUAAAUAGCCAGGCUGGUUGGACAGUAAUCUUCGAGAACCUGUCUCUUUCUGCCUCUCCAGCACUUAUGUUACCA